rnacentral:rRNA from 1 species
CCUACGGGAGGCAGCAGUGGGGAAUCUUGGACAAUGGGGGCAACCCUGAUCCAGCCAUGCCGCGCGUGUGAAGAAGGCCUUCGGGUUGUAAAGCACUUUCAGUAGGGAGGAAGGCUUAUCCUUAAUACGGACGAGUACUUGACGUUACCUACAGAAGAAGCACCGGCUAAUUUCGUGCCAGCAGCCGCGGUAAU